rnacentral:rRNA from 1 species
AGAGUUUGAUCCUGGCUCAGAACGAACGCUGGCGGCGUGCUUAACACAUGCAAGUCGAACGCGAAAAGGGGCAACCCUCGGUAGCGUGGCAGACGGGUGAAUAACGCGUGGGUAACCUACCCGGAGGUGGGGGAUAACCCUUCGAAAGGAGGGCUAAUACCGCAUAACAUCGCGAGGACCUCGGUCCUUGCAAUCAAAGCUGGCCUCUGUUUACAAGCUAGCGCCACCGGAUGGGCCCGCGCCCCAUUAGCUAGUUGGUGAGGUAACGGCUCACCAAGGCAACGAUGGGUAGCCGGCCUGAGAGGGCGACCGGCCACACUGGAACUGCGACACGGUCCAGACUCCUACGGGAGGCAGCAGUGAGGAAUCUUGCGCAAUGGGCGAAAGCCUGACGCAGCGACGCCGCGUGAAGGAUGAAGGUCUUCGGAUUGUAAACUUCUGUCGAGCGGGACGAAUGCCAUGAGGGUGAACAAUCCUCGUGGUGACGGUACCGCUGGAGAGCCCAGAUCGCCC